CGCGGACACUCCUACGGGAGGCAGCAGUGGGGAAUAUUGCACAAUGGGCGCAAGCCUGAUGCAGCCAUGCCGCGUGUAUGAAGAAGGCCUUCGGGUUGUAAAGUACUUUCAGCAGUGAGGAAGGCGGGUACGUUAAUAGCGUGCUCGUUUGACGUUAGCUGCAGAAGAAGCACCGGCUAACUCCGUGCCAGCAGCCGCGGUAAUACGGAGGGUGCGAGCGUUAAUCGGAAUUACUGGGCGUAAAGCGCAUGCAGGUGGUUUGUUAAGUCAGAUGUGAAAGCCCCGGGGCUCAACCUCGGAAUUGCAUUUGAAACUGGCAGACUAGAGUACUGUAGAGGGGGUAGAAUUUCAGGUGUAGCGGUGAAAUGCGUAGAGAUCUGAAGGAAUACCGGUGGCGAAGGCGGCCCCCUGGACAGAUACUGACACUCAGAUGCGAAAGCGUGGGGAGCAAACAGGAUUAGAUACCCUGGUAG
rnacentral:rRNA from 1 species